rnacentral:rRNA from 1 species
UACGUAGGGGGCAAGCGUUGUCCGGAUUUAUUGGGCGUAAAGAGCGUGUAGGCGGCCAUACAGGUCCGUUGUGAAAACUCGAGGCUCAACCUCGAGACGUCGAUGGAAACCGUAUGGCUAGAGUCCGGAAGAGGAGAGUGGAAUUCCUGGUGUAGCGGUGAAAUGCGCAGAUAUCAGGAAGAACACCCGUGGCGAAGGCGGCUCUCUGGGACGGUACUGACGCUGAGACGCGAAAGCGUAGGGAGCGAACAGG